GAGGAGUGAGAAUCUGCACCAUGGGUCUCACAGUAAAUCAGGUUUGUUACAGUGUGUCAGUCUGGCUUCCAGGAUUGGCUAUGACAAGGAAGAUCCCACUCACUGACAGCUAGCAGAGUUUGUACUUCAUUUGUAAUUUCUAGCUGAUAAUAAUUCUGAACGAGAGCAGAUUUUGGAAGGAUCGGGGUACAAAACAGAUGAAGCAUGGAUACGUAGAACUUUCCAAGACCCCCCAAUGGCAACUCAGGCACCAGUACUGAAAUGGAGCUGGUUCCAGGUCGGGUCCGGUUCUUCAGACUUCCCUCUGCUGACACUCAGGUCCGGUUCUUGAAACUUCUCACCGCUGACCCAAUGCUCCUGCCCUUCGCACUGCUGCAUUUGGAUCCUGUAAAUGCUGGACACCUAGGGGGAGCCCCACACCGGAUGCCCUGUUCAGAUUGUGCUGCUACACUGGAAGUGGGGAAAAUCACUGCAUUUUGCACAAGAAGAUUCCACUGUGUGGCCUCAUUCACACACACGUGGUCCACGGUCCGUGAAGACCCGUCCUGCUGAGUGCACGGCGUCAUUGGUUGCUACGACGCUGUGCGCUU